CUAAAUAGUAUAGUAAACUGUAAACCUAAACCUAAAUGAUAUUACAAUUUACUUCUGAAGCCGCCGCGUACACCAGACCAGUUCUUCUUCCUUUCCCCUUCAAUUUUUAUACUCUCUGCCUCUUGCCUCCUUCAUCUGUCUCUUCUCUAGCCUAUCAAUAAGUAAACAACCCACACUUCUUGCCCCCUUCAUCUGUCUCUUUGAGAUGUGACCAGGUUGUUGACCAUGGAAGAUGCGUACUAUAAAGAGGAAAUGGGAGUUGUAGUUAACAAUAUGCUUUCAGAGGCCCACAUGCUAGGUGAAGGAAUUGUUGGCCAAGCUGCUUCCACUGGAAAGCACCAGUGGAUUUUCUCAGAUGCUAGUGAUGGAGGCUAGAAUUCUGCUGCCUCUAUUGGAGGUCAGGAUAUAUUCCAGACAAUUACAGUAAUCUCCGUGGAAUCACAAGGACUUGUACAAUUUGGAUCCACCCAGAAGGGGAGCACAUUGAAAGCAGACCGAGUAAAUUUAACUAAAUUUCCGACUUGCCUUCAUCUUUGAACUGUGAAAGUUAUGAAAGAAGGCUAACUGCAAAUUACAGUUUGCUUUAAAUUUUAAAGAA